rnacentral:rRNA from 1 species
UUCCAGACUCCUACGGGAGGCAGCAGUGAGGAAUAUUGGUCAAUGGGAGAGAUCCUGAACCAGCCAAGCCGCGUGAGGGAAGACGGCCCUAUGGGUUGUAAAACUCUUUUGUCGGAGAACAAAACCCGGGACGUGUCCCGGACUGCGUGUAUCCGAAGAAAAAGCAUCGGCUAACUCCGUGCCAGCAGCCGCGGUAACACGGAGGAUGCGAGCGUUAUCCGGAUUUAUUGGGUUUAAAGGGUGCGUAGGCGGCCCGUUAAGCCAGGGGAAAAAUUGGGGGGCUCAACCCCGUCGAGCCGUUGAAACUGGCAGUCUCGAGUUGGAGAGAAGUAUGCGGAAUGCGCGGUGUAGCGGUGAAAUGCAUAGAUAUCACGCAGAACUCCGAUUGCGAAGGCAGCAUACCGGCGCGCAACUGACGCUCAUGCACGAAAGCGUGGGUAUCGAACAGGAUUAGAUACCCUGGUAA